rnacentral:rRNA from 1 species
UACGAAGGGGGCUAGCGUUGCUCGGAAUUACUGGGCGUAAAGGGCGCGUAGGCGGCGCUGCAAGUCAGGCGUGAACUUCCUGGGCUUAACCUGGGGGCUGCGCUUGAGACUGUGGUGCUAGAGGAUGGGAAGAGGGCUCGUGGGAAAUUCCCAGUGUAGAGGUGAAAUUCGUAGAUAUUGGGAAGAACACCGGUGGCGAAGGCGGCGAGCUGGUCCAUUACUGACGCUGAGGCGCGACAGCGUGGGGGAGCAAACAGGG